CCUACGGGGCGCAGCAGUGAGGAAUAUUGGUCAAUGGACGAGAGUCUGAACCAGCCAAGUAGCGUGAAGGAUGACUGCCCUAUGGGUUGUAAACUUCUUUUAUAUGGGAAUAAAAUGUUCCACGUGUGGGAUUUUGUAUGUACCAUAUGAAUAAGGAUCGGCUAACUCCGUGCCAGCAGCCGCGGUAAUACGGAGGAUCCGAGCGUUAUCCGGAUUUAUUGGGUUUAAAGGGAGCGUAGGUGGAUUGUUAAGUCAGUUGUGAAAGUUUGCGGCUCAACCGUAAAAUUGCAGUUGAAACGGGCAGUCUUGAGUACAGUAGAGGUGGGCGGAAUUCGUGGUGUAGCGGUGAAAUGCUUAGAUAUCACGAAGAACUCCGAUUGCGAAGGCAGUUCACUGGACUGCAACUGACACUGAGGCUCGAAAGUGUGGGUAUCAAACAGGAUUAGAUACCCGGGUAGUC
rnacentral:rRNA from 1 species